rnacentral:rRNA from 1 species
CCAAGGCGACGAUGCGUAGCGACCUGAGAGGGUGAUCGGCCACAUUGGGACUGAGACACGGCCCAGACUCCUACGGGAGGCAGCAGUGGGGAAUAUUGCACAAUGGGGGAAACCCUGAUAGCAACGCCGCGUGAGUGAUGAAGGCCUUCGGGUUGUAAAGCUCUGUCUUUGGGGACGAUAAUGACGGUACCCAAGGAGGAAGCCACGCUAACUACGUGCCAGCAGCGCGGUAAUACGUAGGUGGCAAGCGUUGUCCGGAUUUACGGGCGUAAAGGGAGCGUAGGGGAUUUUUAAGUGGGAUGUGAAAUACUCGGGCUCAACCUGAGUGCUGCAUCCAAACUGGAAGUCUAGAUGC